UACAGAGGGUGCAAGCGUUGUUCGGAAUUAUUGGGCGUAAAGCGCGUGUAGGCGGCUUGGCAAGUCGGGUGUGAAAGCCCUCAGCUCAACUGAGGAAGUGCGCCCGAAACUGCUUUGCUUGAGUGCUGGAGAGGGUCGCGGAAUUCCCCAAGUAGAGGUGAAAUUCGUAGAUAUCUGGAGGAACACCGGUGGCGAAGGCGGCAUCCUGGACCGGUACUGACGCUGAGGAGCGAAAGCGUGGGGAGCGAACAGG
rnacentral:rRNA from 1 species